rnacentral:misc_RNA from 1 species
UCAAACUUGGUCAUUUAGAGGAAGUAAAAGUCGUAACAAGGUCUCCGUAGGUGAACCUGCGGAGGGAUCAUUACAGAGUGCUUGCCCUCGGGCAGACCUCCCACCCCCUGUCAUCGCUACGACCGUUGCUUUGGCGGGCCGCCCGGGCCAGCCCCGGCCGCCGGCCCCGGCCGGCGCGCGCCCGCCAGAGGCCCCACAGACCCUGGACAUCGGCGUCGUCUGAGUGAGCACCGAAUAAGUCAAAACUUUCAACAACGGAUCUCUUGGUUCUGGCAUCGAUGAAGAACGCAGC